AGGUCGCUAGCUCAACAGGCAGAGCAGUCGCCUCUUAAGCGACGGGUACGGGGUUCGAGUCCCCGGCGACCUA
rnacentral:tRNA from 1 species